rnacentral:rRNA from 1 species
UACGAAGGGGGCUAGCGUUGCUCGGAAUCACUGGGCGUAAAGGGUGCGUAGGCGGGUUUUUAAGUCAGAGGUGAAAUCCUGGAGCUCAACUCCAGAUCUGCCUUUGAUACUGAAAGUCUUGAGUAUGGGAGAGGUGAGUGGAACUGCGAGUGUAGAGGUGAAAUUCGUAGAUAUUCGCAAGAACACCAGUGGCGAAGGCGGCUCACUGGCCCAUUACUGACGCUGAGGCACGAAAGCGUGGGGAGCAAACAGG